rnacentral:rRNA from 1 species
UACGUAGGGGGCAAGCGUUGUCCGGAAUCAUUGGGCGUAAAGCGCGUGUAGGCGGUCCGGUAAGUCCGCUGUGAAAGUCGGGGGCUUAACCCUCGGAUGCCGGUGGAUACUGUCGGGCUUGAGUACGGAAGAGGCGAGUGGAAUUCCUGGUGUAGCGGUGAAAUGCGCAGAUAUCGGGAGGAACACCAGUAGCGAAGGCGGACUCGCUGGGCCAUUCCGUGACGCUGAGACGCGAAAGCUAGGGGAGCGAACAGGAAUU